UACAGAGGUGGCAAGCGUUGUUCGGAUUUACUGGGCGUAAAGGGUGCGUAGGUGGCUUCGUGUGUCGGGCGUGAAAGCCCACCGCUCAACGGUGGAAUGCCGUCCGAAACUACGAGGCUUGAGUGCAGGAGAGGAGAGCGGAAUUCUUGGUGUAGCGGUGGAAUGCGUUGAUAUCAAGAAGAACACCAGUGGCGUAGGCGGCUCUCUGGAAUGCAACUGACACUGAGGCACGAAAGUUGGGGGAGCAAACAGG
rnacentral:rRNA from 1 species